AGAUACUGGUAGGCUAGAGUAUGGUAGAGGCAAAUGGAAUUUCUAGUGUAGCGGUGAAAUGCGUAGAUAUUAGGAGGAACAUCAGUGGCGAAGGCGAUUUGCUGGGCCAUCACUGACGCUGAGACACGAAAGCGUGGGGAGCAAAUAGGAUUAGAUACCCUAGUAGUCCACGCUGUAAACGAUGAGCACUAAGUGUCGGGUUACCGGUGCUGAAGUUAACACAUUAAGUGCUCCGCCUGAGUAGUACGGUCGCAAGACUGAAACUCAAAGGAAUUGACGGGCACCCGCGCAAGCGGUGGAGCAUGCUGUUUAAUUCGAAUCAACGCGCAGAACCUUACCUAGGCUUGACAUCCUUGGCAAAGCUAUAGAGAUAUAGUGGAGGCUAUCCAAGUGACAGGUGGUGCAUGGUUGUCGUCAGCUCGUGUCGUGGGAUGUUCGGUUAAGUCCGAUAACGAGCGCAACCCUUGUUGUUAGUUGCCAGCACUUUGGGUGGGCACUCUAACAAGACUGCCGGUGACAAAUCGGAGGAAGGUGGGGAUGACGUCAAAUCAUCAUGCCCCUUACGUCUAGGGCUACAGGCAUGCUACAAUGGCCGAGACAACGGGACGCAAUCUCGUGAGGGUGAGCAAAUCCCUAAAAAUCGGUCUCAGUUCGGAUUGAAGUCUGCAACUCGACUUCAUGAAGUCGGAAUCGCUAGUAAUCGCGGAUCAGAAAUGCCGCGGUGAAUACGUUCCCGGGUGUUGUACACACCGCCCGUCACGCCAUGGGAGUCGGGGGUACCCGAAGUCGGUGAGGUAACCCGUAUGGGAGCCAGCCGCCGAAGGUAAAACUGAUGACUGGGGUGAAGUCGUAACAAGGUAACCAAGGCGAAUCG
rnacentral:rRNA from 1 species